GUGGCUGUUUUCAGCCUGUGUUGUAAGCACAUCCAGGUAUCUGGAGAAUGAAAGACCUCAGAUUUCAUAAAUACUCCCUCGUACCAAGAACGAUAGAAGGGGGCGGAGGUCAUGAGGAAUUCUAGAGGAGCACUUUUCCCGGAAGAGAAACUCUGCAAAUGGCUGACUCAUCUAUUGUUAGCUUUGGAGCAUCUGCAUUCCAACCGCGUUCAUCAUAGAGACCUCAAGUUAUGUAACAUAUUCAUCACAAAGGACAACGACAUCAGGUUAGGUGAUUUUGGAUUUGGAAAAUUGCUAGAUGCAGAAGGCCUUGCUUCCUCGGUAUGAAUUUCUAUUGCGGA